rnacentral:rRNA from 1 species
UACGUAGGCAGCAAGCGUUGUUCGGAAUUACUGGGCGUAAAGAGUGUGUAGGCGGUGUUCCCAGUCUGUUGUGAAAUCUCCCGGCUUAACUGGGAGGGUGCAGCGGAAACUAGAAUGCUAGAGGGUGGGAGAGUAAGCGGAAUUCCGUGGUGUAGCGGUGAAAUGCGUAGAUAUCAGGAGGAACACCUGUGGUGUAGACAGCUUACUGGACCACUUCUGACGCUGAGACACGAAAGCGUGGGUAGCAAACAGG